UGACUCAUUAUCCUCUAUCUUUAAUAAGAGGUUUUUCAGGGCCCUUUUAUUUUCUCACUAUACUCUUUUCCUUGGCCAUUGCCUCUUCAACCAUGACUUCUAUUACAAUAGGAAUGUCAAUCACUUUCACCUGUCUUCAAUUUAGAUCUUUCCUCUAACACCCGGAUAUGUAAUUCAACUCUUAACUUGAUAUCUCACUUGGAAGAGUUACAAGCCUCUCUGAAAAAAAUCCAUACAGGAUGGAAUGCAUGGCAUUUUCUCUGAAACUUCCUCCCUGUCCAGUGUUAUCUACCUUGGAACGAUUGUCUCAUUUAGAGGGACUCUCUAACCUGAGUACACAUUUGAAACAUCUGAGGGCUUUGAAACAUACCUGCUCCUGGACCACCUGCUGAACCAAUUAAAUCAGAAUUUCUGUUGUGAAGAUCUCCACGUGAGUUUAAGCUUUCCUGCUCAACUGUUAGUUCCAUGAAGGCAACAGCCAUGCCUGCUUCGUUCACUGAAAUAUCUUCGUUUCCUAACACACAGAAAGUCAUCAUUUUUUGACGGAUGAAAGAAUGGAUGAAUGCCUAGUCUUGGAGACAUCUACUUGCAAUAAAGGUGAAGAAACAGAGGCAAAGGGAGCAUAAGCAAUUUUCCAAAGGCCAUACAACAUGUAAGUGGCUGAGCCAAGACUGAAAUCACCAGGUUCUUAACCACUAGGCCAUAUUGCAUUGGAGUGUUGCCUCCUGGAGUAAGACUAGGCUAAAAGCUUCAUAGAAACCUAAAGGAGUUAGAGAAGGAAGAUCUCUCAAUGGAAAUGCUAAGAAGAGACACAAGGAAAGACACAUCACUAAGGAGAGACCCAAGGAAAAUGGCUCUAUGACUACAGUCCAUUUAAAGAAUGAGGGCGUUCCUUCUACCAAGUUACAGGUGGAGAUGUGUUUACCUGCUGGAUACCAAUGCUUCUAGCAUCAGGGAGAAGUUGAGCCCUGGAGGAAACAUUGCCUCUAAGUUUGUGUUCUGAUGGAGAUGAUGACUACUUCACAGGCACUUUGCAAGGUCUGAUGACAUUGACAAUACAUUGGACAAAGAGCAAAGGAAGAGGAGUCUGCAAAACAACAACAACAACAACAGAAAAAAACAAAAUAAAACAAAGGGUCAUCGGAAGAGUAACAGGAGAAAGAAGAGUUAAUGUGUGGUGGAAUCCUUGGGAAAGCAUGAGUCAAGAAGUAUAGUAUACACAAUUCAGAUAACCAAGGGGUUACUUCCAAAAGGAUGAAUGUAUUUGUAGGCAAGGCGCAUGGAAAUAAGCUUUCCUGAAAUCCCACGUAACCCACAAUAGCUCUCAAAAGCUUCAAAAAAUAGUGAUGAAAAAGGUUAACUCUGAUGCUGUUCUGGAGCUGAAAGCAGAUUUUGACCUUGGAUAAACAUGCUGGAUUUUCGCUAUUGAAUGUAUUGGGCACAAUUCAAGGUGCUACAUACUGCAAAGCAAAGUAUCUACAACAACUGCAAUAAGCCACCCUGAUCAUUCUUCAACCUAAAGAUUUGCAACUCAUCCAAGUUCAACUGGUUGAAAGAGCCUGCCUCCUCACAGCAGUGCCUGAUUGACACUAUGAACUGAAAUACUAAAGGCACUUCUUCUUUCAGGAUAACUGAUUAAAUGUUCUGGCUGGUAAAGCAGGUCAUCACUCAACUGUUGUGGCUUUGGCAAGAUGCCACCAAAGCAGCCCAUCAUGGUUGGCAGAGAUGUAAAGGCCCCACAUAUUACAGAACACCCUUUGAUAUGCAGACUAAUUAAUAGAAGACCUAAGCCUUUCAAGGGACUUCUAUACCAUAGGAUGUUAGGAGACAUCAAGAACACAAAUGAAACUAAGAUUUUCAUACAGGGUUCAGGUUUUGUUACUUCAGAUCUAUAAUCUAAAGUUCUGUAAUCAUCACAUCACUCCAAGAACAAAAUUUGAUAGGCAAAAUUCUUCACACUCAUUUCAUGGAGAACCUUGAGGGUCCAGAGUGAGGCUUGAUGGCAAGCAGGAGCUCCCUGUCCCCUGUCUCCACCCAUGCAACCCCUAGCUCCCCCAUUGUUUUCACUCUAGAUUUGUGAAGUAUAACAACCUUAAAAUCUUAAGAUUUAAUCUUUAAAUAUUAAGAGAUUUGGGUUUCUGUAUCAACAAUCUUUAAAUAUUAAGAGAUUUUUCCGAAGAUUAAUGACUUUCCUAGAGUUGGCCUACAAAUUCACCACCUCAACUGGAUGACUUGCUUUGGAAUAAAUUUCUAACACCGCAAGUGAAUUGAAUAUUUUCUUCCUUUUUUAUGUAAUCUAAUAUAGUACAUUUUUAAAAAUUUAUAGGAUGUCCAGACACUUAUAGCUUAUCAUUCUAUGAUUCAAAAGAAUUUGGUAUAAUUGCAUUGAUAAGCUUACUGCCCUGGGCACCAAAGUAACCUAGAAUAUGGAGAAGUAGCUUUUGGUGACAUGCAUCUAUUUAUAUCUCUAGCAUUUACUAAUUAAUUAAUUUGUUUAACAAAUACACAUUCAGUACCAUUAUAUGUUUGGCAUUGUCAUAGAUGUUAGAAAAUCAAAUAUAAAAAAGAGGUAAUUUCUUCACAACACACGGAAAUAAGAGUAUCUCUAGGAAUUGUCUCUAGUUGAAAUUGUUUUCUCCUACCCACCUCUACGAUUCAUCAAUUUAGCUUUCCUUCACUGUAGUGACAGGUGUUUUAAUCUCACCUAACAAUAUGCCUGAUUAAGCUUCAACAUACACAGAGAGAGGCCUGAAAAACAUAACUUGGUCUCUAUGUCUAAGUUUAUGUUGUUAGUAAUAGUUAUAAGAGCCACAGCGAUGGCACCAUGGCGUUACCUUCUCUGAAGGCUUUCCCAGCUUUCCUAGCAAAGCUCUUUUCUCUUCCCUCUGGUUAAAAAAUAAAUAAAAAAAAAAUAAAGGUUUUUCCUUUAUUGUUAUUCUUAUGUGUCUGAUUUUAUCACAUUUAUUGUUUUGUUUUCUGAUUGUAUAAGUCAUACAUGCUCAUUUAGAAAACUUGGAAACUAUGGAAAAAGAGAAAUAAAAAAUAAAAUCCACUCUAAUCUACCUUGUUUCUAUCUCUAAGGUAGCAUUCGUCACUUUGGUAUGAAGUUGAUGUGAGUAGAUCUGUCUAAUCAACUAAAUUUGGAGCUUCUCCUGAGAAGAACGCAUGUAUUCAGCUCUGUAUUCCAGCUGUAGGAAGUGUGUGAUGUAUUGGAAACAUCCCAUAAUUUUGAAUAAGAGCAGCAUCAAGUACACAGAGGACUGCUGGACCUAGAACGAC
rnacentral:lncRNA from 10 species